rnacentral:rRNA from 1 species
UAGGGAAUCUUCGGCAAUGGACGAAAGUCUGACCGAGCAACGCCGCGUGAGUGAAGAAGGUUUUCGGAUCGUAAAACUCUGUUGUUAGAGAAGAACAAGGACGUUAGUAACUGAACGUCCCCUGACGGUAUCUAACCAGAAAGCCACGGCUAACUACGUGCCAGCAGCCGCGGUAAUACGUAGGUGGCAAGCGUUGUCCGGAUUUAUUGGGCGUAAAGCGAGCGCAGGCGGUGUCUUAAGUCUGAUGUGAAAGCCCCCGGCUCAACCGGGGAGGGUCAUUGGAAACUGGGGGACUUGAGUGAAGAAGAGGAGAGUGGAAUUCCAUGUGGAGCGGUGAAAUGCGUAGAUAUAUGGAGGAACACCAGGGGCGGAGGCGGCUCUCUGGUCUGUAACUGACGCUGAGGCGCGAAAGCGUGGGGAGAAAACAG